CCUACGGGUGGCAGCAGUGAGGAAUAUUGGUCAAUGGGCGCGAGCCUGAACCAGCCAAGUCGCGUGAAGGAUGAAGGCCCUUUGGAUUGUAAACUUCUUUUAUCGGGGAACAAAAUGCGACACGCGUGUCCGUUUGUGUGUACCCUAUGAAUAAGCACCGGCUAACUCCGUGCCAGCAGCCGCGGUAAUACGGAGGAUGCGAGCGUUAUCCGGAUUUAUUGGGUUUAAAGGGAGCGAGGGGGGGGGAUUAAGUCAGCGGGAAAAUCUCGGGGCUCAACCCCGGCCGGCCGUUGAAACUGGGUGGCUUGAGUGCGCGAGAGGUAUGCGGAAUUCGUGGUGUAGCGGUGAAAUGCUUAGAUAUCACGAAGAACUCCGAUUGCGAAGGCAGCAUACGGGAGCGAUACUGACGCUGAGGCUCGAAAGCGUGGGUAUCGAACAGGAUUAGAUACCCCAGUAGUC
rnacentral:rRNA from 1 species